rnacentral:rRNA from 1 species
AUUGAACGCUGGCGGCAUGCCUUACACAUGCAAGUCGAACGGCAGCACGGGUGCUUGCACCUGGUGGCGAGUGGCGAACGGGUGAGUAAUACAUCGGAACAUGUCCUGUAGUGGGGGAUAGCCCGGCGAAAGCCGGAUUAAUACCGCAUACGAUCUACGGAUGAAAGCGGGGGACCUUCGGGCCUCGCGCUAUAGGGUUGGCCGAUGGCUGAUUAGCUAGUUGGUGGGGUAAAGGCCUACCAAGGCGACGAUCAGUAGCUGGUCUGAGAGGACGACCAGCCACACUGGGACUGAGACACGGCCCAGACUCCUACGGGAGGCAGCAGUGGGGAAGUUUGGACAAUGGGCGAAAGCCUGAUCCAGCAAUGCCGCGUGUGGGAAGAAGGCCUUCGGGUUGUAAAGCACUUUUGUCCGGAAAGAAAGCCUUGGCCCUAAUACGGUCGGGGGGAUGACGGUACCGGAAGAAUAAGCACCGGCUAACUACGUG